rnacentral:rRNA from 1 species
CAGUCGCCGCGGGAAUACGUAGGUGGCAAGCGUUGCCCGGAAUUAUUGGGCGUAAAGGGCUCGCAGGCGGUUUCUUAAGUCUGAUGUGAAAGCCCCCGGCUCAACCGGGGAGGGUCAUUGGAAACUGGGAAACUCGAGUGCAGAAGAGGAGAGUGGAAUUCCACGUGUAGCGGUGAAAUGCGUAGAGAUGUGGAGGAACACCAGUGGCGAAGGCGACUCUCUGGUCUGUAACUGACGCUGAGGAGCGAAAGCGUGGGGAGCGAACAGGAUUAGAUACCCCCGUAGUCCCUGUCUCUUAUAC